CAUCCUGGCAGGGGCAGAAAAGGCAGAGUGGAGAGGCUCCGGAGACAGGAAGCUGUGGCCUGCUCCCACCGGCACCUUCCUACCUGCACCUGGAAGAACUCCCCCAUCUCCAGCAGGAUCUUCCUGGCGCUGGCGUGCUCCUUCUCCCCAUCGAUGCCCGCCUACGGCGGAAAGGGGAGCAACACGCCUGGCCGCCCGGAUGCAGGACGUCUGGACCGCCCAACCUCCACCCGCUUAUGCCAGCGGAGCCUCCGGGUGAGGGCCAGCAGAGGCGGGUCAGCCCCAGAGGCCUGCGGACCCCGGGCAACACUCUUCUUCCUGACCCUUCACCAUUUACCACUUCUGCGCGAUGAGAAGGGAAACAGAGAAGCGAGGUCAGCGCAGGCAGUUAGCCCAGGGUUCUCCACAUCACACCGUGUGACCUCCUCCCCACUCCCAUCCAGACUCGACGGGCUGACUGCUUUGACGUCCCUUGCCUUGGCUAACGGUCAUAAAAAUCCCGGGGAGGGAACUUUAUCAUCUUACAGCUGAGAGCAGGCUCAGACAGCUUAAGUAACUUGGUCAAGGUCACACAGCCACGCAGUGGGGGCACGAGACUGCCCGAAGACGUCUGCUUUGUGCCCUCUUGUCCAAAAGCCCCAUCAGGGGGCAGCAAGGGUGGGGAGGCUCACUCACCAUGUACAUGGCGGCAGCCACAGGAAGAUAGAACGAGUAGAAAGCGGUCUUAUACUUGACGAUGGACUUGUACCUGGGCAGGGGAGAAGACACACCGCUCAGAAGGGCAGUGCCCAGCACAGCCCUCCCGGGCCGUCCGGAUGCAGUUCCCACCAUCCCUCACCUCUUUUCAGUGAAUCUGCUGAGAUCCACAUUGCCCUGGGGGGCCGUGAUGAGGUCCAGCGUCUGUCCGAGCUCAGUCUGAUAGGAACUCUGAGGAGGAAGAUGGCCCAUGACCUUGCCUUUCUCCAGGGCUGGGAAACCCUGAAAUCCCGGGACCCACAUCCCACGCCAUGGGCAGUCAGAGAGGCAGCAAGGACAGGGCCCUUGGGGUGCCCGGGUGGCACAGUUUGGUUAAGCCCCUGUAUCGGGCCCUGCGUGGUCAGUGGGGAGCCUGCUUGGGAUUCUCUCUCCCCCUCUCUCUGCCCCUCCCCCACCCAGUGGCUCACUCGCUCAAAAUAAAUAAAUUAAAAAAAAAAAA